UAGCCUAGUGGUUAAGGCUAUGGAUCGCCAAUCCGGAGAUAGCGGGUUCGAUUCCCGU
rfam:Aedes albopictus isolate Foshan contig126648, whole genome shotgun sequence.